rnacentral:tRNA from 1 species
AAACUAUUUUAAUUGUUUUGAAAACAGUUGUAAAGAAUAUAUCUUGUAGUUUU